CUAUUUGCUAUGAUCCAUAUAUCUUUUUUAACAACUUAACAUGGUGUACAUAUAUAUAUAUAUGGAGGUAAAAUUCCAACUCGAUCCAACUCUAAGCUAGCCAGCUAGUUUAUGAAUUACCACCUGCUAAGUAGGCCUAGCUAGAUAAUUACUUUAUUAAUCAAAAACUAAUAAUUGUUCCAAAUGGUUUCAACUUCAGAUAAGAAGCUCUCUGAAGUACUUGCUGCUUCUCCAAAGCUGCACGGUGAGUCUGUCAUCAUCAUCUUCAUCUUCAUCAUCAUGUUGUUGUUAGUAUGACUAUUAUUAUUAUUAUUAUUAUUAUUAUUAUUAUCCAUCUUUGUAAGAUGAUUUAAAACAGCAUCUAUUACCAUGUUAUCUUCACAACAAGUACUCCCAUUAAUAAGCUGAUCUCCAAAAGUAUUGGGUAUUGAUGAUGAAUUGGUGGUGGUGAAUUUGGAGGAAAUUAUGUUCAUCUGGUUAAUAGGGGGGUUGAAAAUGGAGAAGCAGGGCACUUGCUCAUAUAACGACGACUGAUGAUGAUGUGUUUGGUACUCAUUGUAUGGAGGAGGAGGAAGAAGAAGAGGAGGAUCAUCCAUUAAUGGAGGGAGAUUAUAAGUUGAUGAUGAGCUAAUAAUGCAUGUGUCCUGAUCGUACCCGUUAAUUCCACCUUGUUUGGAACCACCCGGACCAGUAUGAUGAUCAACUUCUUUGUUUUUGUAAAACACUCUACAUAUUACCCAAUCUUCCUGUUUAUAUUAAACACAACACAAUAACAACAACAAAAAACCAGGAAAAUCAAAAAGAGCGCUAGAAUAAUUAAAGUCGAUUAAUUAAUUAAUUAAUUAAGCAGCUGUAGUUCAUAUAUAUUAAUUAAUUAGGCCAACUUAAAGUAUAAAUAUAAGCAUAUAUAAGCCAAGGAGAUUGAUAUGAUGACAAGGGAGUAGGUUUGCCUCUUUUUUUUAUUUGAAUUCAAUUAAAUUAUGUUGUCUAAUUAGAAACAUAUAUAUAUAUAUAUAUAUAUAUAUAUAUAUAUAUAUAUAUAUAUAU
rnacentral:lncRNA from 1 species